AGAUUGCGAUCAGGACACUGCAUGUAGGAAGGACUGUGUAGGUGCCUGAGGAAAUCUGGAGGCAGAAAACCAGUCCUUUCAGUUGUGCCUCUGGAUGAUGGCUGAUCACACCAAAAGGCAGCAGUUGUUGGUAGGGCUUGGGCAAAGCUGCUCUUCCUUUUGGCAGCCUGCUGAGCAGCUGUAGUAAGAGGAAUAUGAAUCACCACUCUGGAUCUCAAGCCUGUCCCAGAGUCCAGCACCUCACACACAACAAGUGGGCAGCUGUCCUCUUGCUGUGAAAUGACAAGAUAUCCUGGCUAUCAAACUGCUGCCUACCGUGUUUCACCAUGAAAGAUGGGAGAGACCCGGGCUGGCAGAUCUUCCACGUAUUGUUCUUUGAUUUCACCUCCCAGUGGAGUCAGAAGGCUCCAUUCUUUAGUGAUAGGGAAGACAUAGCAUUCAUGACAUCAUCAAAGUGAUGGAGACUUAACCCAUCUGGGGCAGAAAUCUGUGAUGUUUGUUAAUGCACAAAAGCAGGCACACUUGUUUCUUUAACUUAUUCUUGUUACGUGCUGGAAAGCCUUGGAAAACCUGGAUGCAGCCUGAGAUCCUGUGGGUCUCACACAGCUUCAUGAGGUGGUGGUCUUAAGGUUCUUCAUAAGAUGCUUAAGACCUAGAAACACAGUUGCAAUUUAAGUAAUCAACAUAUUCACCGUCUUAAGAUUUUGCUCUUCCUUAGGAAAGAUUAAACAAAUGGGGCAGCAGAAAAUGAAAACCUAUAGCAGAUUAUCAGACAAAAGUGACUUAUUUUUGGCUUUAUGCCAACGUGAACCUCUUAUUCAAAACAAAAUUUCAUGUCAGUGUUUGAGCCUUCUAAUUUGAACGCUCAUUUGGCCUUUUAAUAAUGCAGGGGACAAAAAAAUACCCCCAUCAUAACUCUGGUUGCUCAAUUUAACUGGGGUUUCCCAUUAGCUUCUUUCCCAGACUAUUUAUAGAAUAGCAAUUAAGAUUAAUAUAUAGCUGCUUGCAUUUAGUUCCUGGCUCUGCUGGGUUCUGAGCCACUCCCAACCGGACCUGAAUGACUGAGAUAUGAGUUUAUGAGAACUACUGCUGAUAUCAACUGGAGCUAUCUGUCAUGUAGAGGGGCUUACCUUGAAAAAUCUGAGUCGUGUUUUGUUGGUAUCAUUCACAUUUUGUAAUUGUAAGACUGAAGAUAAACAGGGAGCACUUCUCAGUUAAGAGUGCUUCUCAAUCUCCUCUUGUUAAUGAAAAUAUUUCAAAUAAAUGUAAGGGAAUUCCACACUAAAUUCAUUUUUACCUGUUGUUUUGGGGGCAUGUGUUAUCUGUAAGAUUUGAGUGUCUUACACCACUUAAGAAUGGUGAAGUACGAUGAUUGGUUUCUGUUGCUCUUGACUGUUUGCCAGAUUUUAUGGGUUGUAUAUAUGGGCUGGGAUAUAAUUGCUAUCAGUAGAAACUGUGUGCAUGCGGCAGGCAUGGUUUGAGGGCAGUAUAUACUGUUUUGUGGAAUGGACUCUAGUAACAUGUUUAUGGAUACAAAGUCCUCCUUUUGGUGUUGUAAA